rnacentral:snRNA from 1 species
GUGCUCACUUCAGCAGCACAUAUACUAAAAUUGGAACAAUAUAGAGAAGAUGAGCAUGGCAAAUGUGCAAGGAUGACAAGCAAAUUCAUGAAGCAUUCCAUUAAAAAUUUUU